GGUAAGUGCACAAGACUGGUUAAACAGGCAUACAAAACAAAGCUUCAUCAGAUGGUUUCCUUAUCCAUCAUGCACUUCACAUCCAAGAGUUUAAUUGCCAUUAUUAAAGGCAAACAGGAGGACAUCAAACUGCCUGAGCCCAGUGGAACUUCUGUGCCCACAAACAGCAAUAAGGAAGCCAACUGAGACAUAACUGGGUACAAGAAGUGAUCAUUUUUUCACCUCAAGAAGUCUUGUUUGCAAGAAACAUUACAGGGCAUCCUUCACCUCCUAACAUGAUGGCCUGCAGUAUGUAGAAACAUACCGUUGUGGAAUUCAUUUGCUUCUCAUACGUACUAUUUAAAAAUAAAGUUACGAGUUUUAAAAAUUUUAUAUAUUUUUUUUAAUAGCUACUUACAGAUAAAGUUAUCAACUGGACAACUCCAUAUCAGAACAAACCUUUUAUAUGUUUUUAGUGAGGUCAAGAAAAGCUGCACAGGAAUUUUGCGGCAUGCAUAGUCCACAGCGGAGCUGGCAUAGGCCAAGCCUGUAGUCAUGGGGACCAGCAAGGAAAAGGCAUUUAAAUGCCAAGAUUUUUCAGAAAACCUCUGCUGAACUGGUAUGAAGUCAU